GAUGAACGCUGGCGGCGUGCUUAACACAUGCAAGUCGAACGAAGCACUUUAUUAUGAUUUCUUCGGAAUGACGAUUUAGUGACUGAGUGGCGGACGGGUGAGUAACGCGUGGGUAACCUGCCUUAUACAGGGGGAUAACAGUUAGAAAUGACUGCUAAUACCGCAUAAGCGCACAGGAUUGCAUGAUCUAGUGUGAAAAACUCCGGUGGUAUAAGAUGGACCCGCGUCUGAUUAGCUGGUUGGUGAGGUAACGGCCCACCAAGGCGACGAUCAGUAGCCGACCUGAGAGGGUGACCGGCCACAUUGGGACUGAGACACGGCCCAAACUCCUACGGGAGGCAGCAGUGGGGAAUAUUGCACAAUGGGGGAAACCCUGAUGCAGCGACGCCGCGUGAGCGAAGAAGUAUUUCGGUAUGUAAAGCUCUAUCAGCAGGGAGAAAAAAUGACGGUACCUGACUAAGAAGCCCCGGCUAACUACGUGCCAGCAGCCG
rnacentral:rRNA from 1 species